rnacentral:tRNA from 1 species
GCCGGAAUGGCGGAAUGGCAGACGCAGUGGACUCAAAAUCCACCGGUGGCAGCAUCGUGAGGGUUCGAGUCCCUCUUCCGGCACCA